AGGAGAUGCUGAUUGGCCAGGGAUGUGUUUGAAUUGUGCUGGCUCUGCCCCUGAUCUGCCUCUUUGUCAGUCUCAGCCAAUCCUAUGGGGAAGCAUUGUGAUUGGAUCAGGCUACCACUUCUAAUGAUGUCAGCAAACUGCUUGUCUUUCUGAGUCUAACAGCAUGCAGAGUUACAGCUUCAUUAUUUCAAAGACAAUACAGUUUUUACAUUACAGCCUAGGGAAUUGCCUAGCCACUCCUCAAAUGGCUACUAGAGGCUUACUGUGUCCCUUUAAGCCUAGUUAAGCUCUCCUAGAGGGGUGAGGAGUUAUCCAAACCACUACAUAUAUCACAAGGUUUCUAUACAUCCCUUCUCCAAUCAGAACCCAAUCAAAAA